rnacentral:rRNA from 1 species
GUCGGGAGUCUUGCACAAUGGGGGAAACCCUGAUGCAGCGACGUCGCGUGUGGGAUGAAGUAUUUCGGUAUGUAAACCACUUUUGCGGGGGGCGAAAAAAAUGACGGUACCCCGCGAAUAAGCCCCGGCUAACUACGUGCCAGCAGCCGCGGUAAUACGUAGGGGGCGAGCGUUGCUCGGAUUGACUGGGCGUAAAGCGCGCGUAGGCGGUCCAUUAAGUGUGCGGUGAAAUUCGGAGGCUCAACCUCCGUCCCGCCGCGCAAACUGAUGGUCUUGAGAUUGGGAGGGGGAUGCGGAAUUCCUGGUGUAGCGGUGAAAUGCAUUGAUAUCAGGAGGAACACCGGCGGCGAAAGCGGCAUCCUGGCUUAUAUCUGACGCUGAGGCGCGAAAGCGUGGGUAGCAAACGGGAUUAGAAACCCGGGUAGUCC